GAAGGAAAAAGCUACUGGUGCUGUGGGAAGCUGAGUUUGGAAGAAACAGGGAAGGGAGACCAUUGGUUACAGCUGGUUCAUUGUCCAGGAAACCCAGAGUGAUCUCCUGGGAUCGUCUGCAGACUAGUCACCGCUGGCAUUGGUUUGUAGCGUCAUCCUUUUAUAUAAAAAAAUGGAAAUUUUAGGAUUCUGUUUUUAUAAAAAAAUGUUGAGGUGCUUGCUUCUGCCACAAUUCUUUGUAAUCACAAGGACAUUAUGUAGGCCUUCCAUUUUGUGCCAAUCUAAACAAAAUUUAAAUAUUUUAACAGUUGGCAUUUAGUUAAGAAUUUUAAACAUUCAGUGCCCUUCUGGCUUUGGCUAUGAAUGGGCCUCUUUGGAGUUUUGUCGCUUACAUGUUGCCACCUGCCGGAGAAGAGAAGGAGUGCAACUGAAUGCUUUACCUGGAAAUCAUACUUGCCCUCAAAGAAGUCGCCCCUUAUUGCCCCAGGUGAAGGCAGAGGAAUGCAUGUGGUUGGACUCCAGGAGAAGGAGGUUCUCUGACCAUUCAGUUCCUGAGAAUGUCCUGCAACCUGCCUCCAUCCCUUUACCUCAAGAGAAUGGAAGGUGUUGGAGUGGGCUACUACUAAGUUUUCCAGAAAUAAACAUGUUUUCCAAGAAGAGGAGAAGACAAAAGCAGAGAGAUAAAGAUACGUCGCGGUAUUCUCCUGACAGAGACUUCCCUUCAUCUACGACAACAUUAGCGUGGUAGGCUGAAUGACGGCCCCCACAGACAUCAGGUCUUUACCCUGCAACCUGCAGACGUCGCCUUAUCUGAGGGAAAGGUCUUUGCAGAUAUGAGGUUUUUCAGAUGGGGAGAUUAUCUUGGAUUAUCUGGUGGGCCCCAAAAGCCGUCAUAUACCUCCUCACAAGAGAGAGGGAGACAGAUUUGUUGUAGACACGGAGAAGGUGAUGUAAAGACAGAAGCAGUGACUGGAGUGAUAGCCUCACAAGCAAGGAGGGCCAGCAGCCUCCAGAAGUCGGAAGAGGCGAGAAAUGAAGUCUCCUGACAGCCUGCAGAGGGAGAAGGCCCGGCUUAUCCCUUGAUUUGGGCCCAGUGAGACUGAUCUCCUACUCCCAGCCUCCAGAACUGUGAGAAAAUAAAUUUCUGUUAUUUGAGACCA